UACGGAGGGUGCAAGCGUUAUCCGGAUUUAUUGGGUUUAAAGGGUGCGUAGGUGGCCUGGUAAGUCAGGGGUGAAAGACGGUAGCUUAACUAUCGCAGUGCCUUUGAUACUGCCGGGCUUGAAUAAACUAGAGGUAGGCGGAAUGUGACAAGUAGCGGUGAAAUGCAUAGAUAUGUCACAGAACACCGAUUGCGAAGGCAGCUUACUAUGGUUUUAUUGACACUGAGGCACGAAAGCGUGGGGAUCAAACAGG
rnacentral:rRNA from 1 species